AGCUUCGCAGUUUUAGAAACACCAGAUUGCAAAUCUGGAGGUAUAGGCUAACUGCCUAUCGGGGCUU
rnacentral:tRNA from 1 species